rnacentral:rRNA from 1 species
GCAGUCGAGCGGUAACAGAUCCAGCCUGCUGGAUGCUGACGAGCGGCGGACGGGUGAGUAAUGCAUAGGAAUCUGCCCGAUAGUGGGGGAUAACCUGGGGAAACCCAGGCUAAUACCGCAUACGUCCUACGGGAGAAAGGGGGCUCCGGCUCCCGCUAUCGGAUGAGCCUAUGUCGGAUUAGCUGGUUGGCGAGGUAACGGCUCACCAAGGCCACGAUCCGUAGCUGGUCUGAGAGGAUGAUCAGCCACAUCGGGACUGAGACACGGCCCGAACUCCUACGGGAGGCAGCAGUGGGGAAUAUUGGACAAUGGGGGAAACCCUGAUCCAGCCAUGCCGCGUGUGUGAAGAAGGCCCUCGGGUUGUAAAGCACUUUCAGCGAGGAAGAACGCCUAACGGUUAAUACCCGCUAGGAAAGACAUCACUCGCAGAAGAAGCACCGGCUAACUCCGUGCCAGCAGCCGCGGUAAUACGGAGGGUGCAAGCGUUAAUCGGAAUUACUGGGCGUAAAGCGCGCGUAGGUGGAUUGAUAAGCCGGUUGUGAAAGCCCCGGGCUCAACCUGGGAACGGCAUCCGGAACUGUCAAGCUAGAGUGCAGGAGAGGAAGGUAGAAUUCCCGGUGUAGCGGUGAAAUGCGUAGAGAUCGGGAGGAAUACCAGUGGCGAAGGCGGCCUUCUGGACUGACACUGACACUGAGGUGCGAAAGCGUGGGUAGCAAACAGGAUUAGAUACCCUGGUAGUCCACGCCGUAAACGAUGUCGACCAGCCGUUGGGUGCCUAGCGCACUUUGUGGCGAAGUUAACGCGAUAAGUCGACCGCCUGGGGAGUACGGCCGCAAGGUUAAAACUCAAAUGAAUUGACGGGGGCCCGCACAAGCGGUGGAGCAUGUGGUUUAAUUCGAUGCAACGCGAAGAACCUUACCUACUCUUGACAUCCUGCGAAUUUGGUAGAGAUACCUUAGUGCCUUCGGGAACGCAGAGACAGGUGCUGCAUGGCUGUCGUCAGCUCGUGUUGUGAAAUGUUGGGUUAAGUCCCGUAACGAGCGCAACCCUUGUCCUUAUUUGCCAGCGCGUAAUGGCGGGAACUCUAAG